AAUCCAUGAUUAGGUAUUGUAUUAAGGAAAACUGAAAAUCUCCUCCAAUCUUGAGAACAACUUUCUCCAACCUUCUGCAUAAAGUUGGUUAUCUCAAUUCUAGAAU